rnacentral:rRNA from 1 species
UACGGGGGGGGCAAGCGUUGUUCGGAAUUACUGGGCGUAAAGGGCUCGUAGGUGGCCAACUAAGUCAGACGUGAAAUCCCUCGGCUUAACCGGGGAACUGCGUCUGAUACUGGAUGGCUUGAGUUUGGGAGAGGGACGCGGAAUUCCAGGUGUAGCGGUGAAAAUGCGUAGAUAUCUGGAGGAACACCGGUGGCGAAGGCGGCGUCCUGGACCAACACUGACACUGAGGAGCGAAAGCCAGGGGAGCAAACGGGG